rnacentral:rRNA from 1 species
UUAUGUGAUCGUCUCUCGCAUAUCAAUAAGCGGAGGAAAAGAAACUAACAAGGAUUCCCCUAGUAACGGCGAGUGAAGCGGGAAGAGCUCAAAUUUGAAAUCUUAAAGGGUUUCCCUUUACGAAUUGUAGUUUAAAGAAGUGUUUUCUGUUGAGGUUUUGGUAAAAGUUCUUUGGAAUAGGACAUCAUAGAGGGUGAGAAUCCCGUAUUUGACCUUUACUUUCAACUUUGUGAUACACUUUCAAAGAGUCGGAUUGUUUGGGAAUGCAGUCCAAAAUGGGUGGUAAAUUUCAUCUAAAGCUAAAUAUUGGCGAGAGACCGAUAGCGAACAAGUACCGUGAGGGAAAGAUGAAAAGAACUUUGAAAAGAGAGUUAAACAGUACGUGAAAUUGUCAAAAGGGAAGCGUUUGACACCAGUGUUGUUUUUCUGAAAAUCAAUUAAAGAACUGUUUAUGCUAAGUUGUUUAGACUUUAUCAGCUAACUGUUUAGUUUUGAGCUUUUCUUUAAUGCACUUUUCAGUUAACAAGUCAACAUCAAUUUCUUUUGCUGUAAAAAAGCUUGAGGAAGGUGGCUUGAGAUUCGUCUUAAGUGUUUAUAGCCUCUUGCCUAUGCAGUCGGAGAGAUUGAGGUCUGCAGCGUAGAUCCUUCGGGGCUAAAUGCAUUUGUGCUAAGUUAUAGCAUUUUCAUAGACAACUUGUUGACUAUGAUUUGUCUUGUAGCUUACUCGCUUAUGUUAUUUUACCUACGCUUAGGAUGUUGAGUCAUCACACAUCUCU